rnacentral:rRNA from 1 species
UACGAAGGGGGCUAGCGUUGUUCGGAAUUACUGGGCGUAAAGCGCACGUAGGCGGAUUUGUAAGUCAGGGGUGAAAUCCCGGGGCUCAACCUCGGAACUGCCUUUGAUACUGCAAGUCUUGAGUCCGGAAGAGGUGAGUGGAAUUCCUAGUGUAGAGGUGAAAUUCGUAGAUAUUAGGAAGAACACCAGUGGCGAAGGCGGCUCACUGGUCCGGUACUGACGCUGAGACGCGAAAGCGUGGGGAGCAAACAGG